GCCUCAUCCCAGGUAGGGAUGAACUAAGGAUUUCCCACAAGACAAUACAAUUCAAAGCUGAUAGAACAGACAACUGAAACAGGCACAAGGGGAAGCUAACACACAGAGGAGGCCAAGGAACAGAGCAAGUUCUUGUGAGGAAAAAUAUGACUGACAGAGCUGAGCAGAGGCUUUCAGCUUACUGCCCCCAAAUGGCACCAUUCUCUUGAACCUGGGAAGGAGAAAGUUUUUGUUUUGAUCUCUCUGGAGUUCACAUAAGUAAUUACAAGACUUGUGAUAAAUGCUCCUUUCAAGUAUCCUCAGAACACAUGCAACAAGAAAAGCCUAAAAAAAAAAGUAAACCCUUGGGAUUCCUCUCACUACCUCCUCAAAGUUAUCCAUGGGCUCUAAAAUUUGUGACUUACUUUUUGUCCCUCUCUCCUUUCCCACACAGCAGAACUCAGUACAGCCUUUUGCCUUCUUAAUCAAAGUUGGAAGUAGACCAACAAGAACAGACUUUUCUGAUGGCACAGCACUGCUCACAGCAGAGAGUGAUUUGACAAAUGAAACCUAAGCAAGGAUCUGGAUACCAAGGCUAUAUUGAAAUAUUAUAUGGAUUCUCAGAAAUGACCCAAGUCCCUUGAACAUCCUGGGGAAAUUCAUAACUGCCUUCACAUGAAACCAAGUAAAGCAAACGCCUGGAGCACUUCCAGAAAACACAGUUUACAGACUUUUUCAUGAGUGUUGAGGGAGAAAAGAAAUCGAAGUCAUGUCAAAGCUGAACCUACCUGCUUUUCAUAGGCAAGGAGCUGCUUCGAAAGCUGUUGUGUGGCAAGACACAUUUCAUUCUACAAACAAAAAUGACAUGUUAAUAGAAAUAAUCAAAGGUCCCCUG